rnacentral:rRNA from 1 species
UGGGGAAUUUUCCGCAAUGGGGGGAACCCUGACGGAGCAACGCCGCGUGCGGGAGGACGGCCUGUGGGUUGUAAACCGCUUUUCUCUGGGAAGAAGCUCUGACGGUACCAGAGGAAUCAGCAUCGGCUAACUCUGUGCCAGCAGCCGCGGUAAUACAGAGGGUGCAAACGUUGUUCGGAAUUACUGGGCGUAAAGAGCGUGUAGGCGGCACGUUAAGUCGUCUGUGAAAGCCCAUGGCUCAACCAUGGAAGUGCAGUCGAUACUGGCAUGCUAGAGUCCCGGAGAGGGUGGUGGAAUUCCCAGUGUAGAGGUGAAAUUCGUAGAUAUUGGGAGGAACACCAGUGGCGAAGGCGACCACCUGGACGGGUACUGACGCUGAGACGCGAAAGCGUGGGGAGCAAACAGGAUUAGAUACCCCCGUAGUCC